AUCCUUUUAAUCCCUUCCUGUACCAUCUGCCACAGAAAUUGAGGCAUUUCAACAUCACUCAAAGUGGGCCAAUGCUUUUUCCAUACUUCUAAGAAUCACCUUAACAGCAAAUUCAUGCCAACCCCUAGGUUUCUUCCAGGACAGUUAACUUUGUAUCCCUUGUCCAAUCUUAUGCUCUGCCCCCUUUGAGCACAUUCAGAACCUAGUCUCCCCCAGCCACUGGCUAGGUCAUGAAAUUCUGGUAGGUGUAGAUGAUUUCCUUCUUUCUGAGUCUCAAAACACUCCCUGCUGGAUUAUGGUGUGAUUCCAUGCUAAUUAUAGGCCUGGGAAGCCUAAGAGGAAAUGGAUCAACUCCAGAGGGGCUAACUAUUGCAUGUAGGAGAAAAAGCUCUGUAUUCCUUUCCCACACUGGGGUAGUAGAAAAUCUUUGCAAACAAUGCAACUGACAAGGGCUUAAUCUCCAAAGUAUAUAAACAACUCAUAACGCUCAACAAACAACCCAAUCAAAAAACGGACAGAAGACCUAAAUAGACAUUUCUCCAAAGAAGACAUACUGAUGGCCAGUAAAUACAUGAAAAGAUACCCAACAUCACUAAUUAUUAGAGAGAUGAAAAUCAAAACUACAAUGAAGUACCACCUCACGCUGGCCAGAAUGGCCACAGUUAACGUCUUCAAAUAACAAAUGAUGGAGAAGGUGUGGCAAAAAAGGGAACACUCCUACACUGUUGGUGGGAAUGCAAAUUAGUACAACCACUAUGGAAAACAGUAUGAAGGUUCCUCAGGAAACUAAAUAUAGAACUACCAUAUGAUCCAGCAAUCCCACUCCUGGGCAUAUAUCUGGUCAAAACUAGAAUUCAAAAAGAUACAUGAACACCUAUGUUCACAGCAGCACUGUUCUCAAUAGCCAAGACAUAGAGGCAUCCUAAAUGUCCAUUGACAGAUGAAUGGACUGGGAAGAUGUGGUACAUACAUACAAUGGAAUACUACUCACCCAUAAAAAAAGAAUGAGUGAAGUCGGAAAGAGAAAGAUGAAUAUCGCACGAUAUCACUUAUAUGUGGAAUCUAAAGUAUGGCACAAAUGAACAUACUUACAAAACAGAAACAGACUCACAGACUUGUGGUUGCCAAGGGGCAGGUGGGAGGGAGUGGGAUGGACUGGAAGUUUGGGGUUUGUAGAUGCAAACUAUCACAUUUAGAAUGGAUAAUCAAUGGGGUCCUACUGUACUGCACAGGGAACUAUAUCCAAUCUUUUGGGAUAGAAUGUGAUGGAAGAUAAUAUAAGAAGAAGAAUGUAUAUAUAUGUAUAACUGGAUCACUUCUCUGUACAGCAGAAAUUGGCACACAUUGUAAAUCAACUAUACUUUCAUUAAAAAUAAAAAUAAAAAAAUUUAAGUCUUGGGAAGCAAACUUCUUAGGAAAAUCCAUCCAGAUUGCCCUAGUCCCAUGUGUUUAUAGCCCUAUGUUUCCCUAGUCAGGGACUUGACUUCAUCAUAAAGGACCUGCCUUAGUUGAGCAUUCAACCAUCUUGGAAAUACAGCCACUCUAUUAGAUCUUGGGCUGAUAUCCAGCUUUUUCUUUGUUCACUGAAUGAGAUAAAGCUUUUUCAUUGACUACCAAAGAGACUGUCUGGCUCUAACAUUCAAUAUUCAAUUGCCAGUUACUUGUUCUCAGCCUUUCAUGAUCUAUCUCUGGGGUGUCAAUGAAACUUAGUAAGAACCACUCAAUUCUAUUAUCCUAAUAUUUAUCAUUCCCCCCAUGUAUUCCAAACACCUGGAUCAUCACACUGAUCAAUGCAUUAUCUUACACUGCAGCAUUCUCCCAAGUUAUCACAUUGAAGUUUUGAUAGUAGGGCCACCACUUUGUGCCAGAGUCUACCCAUGGUCCAGUGACCACCUGGGAUGGGGAGUAUCGCCAGCUGGGAAGUGAUCCAGUGACAAAACUUUAUCUUACUUGUUGUUCUCCAGGAAGCACACACUGAGAUGGAGAGAGAAGCUCAAGAUGUACUGGGGAAGUAACACUUACGGAUAAAAACAAAGAAAAGAUGCCAAAUUGGGCUGCCAGGAGCAGGUCAGUUGAUUUAACACACACAGAGAAAUAUGGAGCUGAAAAAAUCCAUUACAUACCAUGAGCUCAGCACAAAGAUACUCUAUUUCAUUUCUGCCACUAAUAUAUGCUCAAGAUUUCUAAAUAAUUGGCAGGACUCCCUACCAGUUACCUGGGUCAAGAAGCCCUGAGUUCUAUUAACCGUUUAGUCCUUCAGGUGGACAUAUGGACACUGAAGCAUUUUAGCCCCAAGCUCCUGCCUCCUAAUAUUGGCACUAGAUGGAGACACAGCUUCUCUCAUGCUCUAGUGUGACGACUGCAAGGAUUACUGGUUUCAUGCUUAAAUUGUAGAGUGUGUCUACACUUGACAACAGUGUCCCAAAUUCUUUUACUCAUGGACAAGACUGACCACAGUGCCUUGGGGAUUCCAUUUGCAGUCAUGGGUGGACUUGCUAAGUAGGAGGUAUGUCUCAGUGUAGUGUAGCAGGACCACACAGGUUUUAAUGUUGUCUGUCUUGGAUUUUACUUCUGGCUGUCCCCAGUGCUACCUACACAACUUGGGGCAAAAGACACAUCCACUCUGGUCCUUAGGAAGGAUUAAAAACAAUGAUAACUCCUCAAGGACUCUGAGGAUUAUAUGUAUAACGUUUCUACCAGAGGGGCUGGCAUCAGCAGAUUCAUCUACCUGUGAAUUUUCCUCCCCUGCUUCACUUCUUCCUCUUCUCUGUCCUUAUAUAUCUGGGUUGAAAUCAGCCUACUGAUGUAUUCCUGUUAUAUUAACCAUGUAAAGAAAAAUGUUAAGAAUCAGAAUGUGCUAGGCAUACUUGAGGCUCUGCAUAAGCCAGGUUUGUUUACAGACAUCCACAGCUCAGCUUGAGGUGGGCAAGACUGCUCAGUCCCCUUUCCACCUGGCCUGGUACCAUCAAUCUCCCCAAAAUGCAUUACAUAGACAACAAGCAUGCUCAAAGUGGCAGAGUCAUGAAAUCAAUGCUAUCCUUGGGUAAGAAUGAUAGGAUUUCAUUAAUCCCUGAUGUCCCACAGCAGAAAAGGACUUGAAAUGCUGUGCAUCUAUCAUCAUCAAAGGCAGAGGAGUCAUAGGGUGACUCUGACCACCUGUUCCACUUUAAUUAUGCAAAACAGAUUAUGUACAAAGCAAGAGGAUAUGUUCCUUGCUUGCCAACAAGAUUGAAGAAUUCAGGAGGCAGAAGAAGAAAAAUGAGAGACCUCCAGCAGUCUCUUCAACUUCCUUGUCCUUUUAUCUAGCUCCGCUGUCUCUCCCAGACCAAUUGCCAGAGGCUUCUUCUUUCUUUCCAGUCACAGUUGUGUUCCUCUUCGCAGGAGUGAACAGACUAUAGCCCACAGGGCAAAUUCAGCCUGUCAUCUGAUUUUGUAAAUAAAUUUUUAUUGGCACAUAGCCAUGCCCAUUGGUUUCUUCAUGCUCUAUGCCUGCUUUUAGACAUUUCUAGGAGAAUUAUCAGAAACCAUAUUAUGGCUCAUAUAUAUCAUGAAUUCCAAAGGAAUGAAUGUUUUAGUCUAGGAGUUUUUGCCUCACUUUCAAAAGAAAAUGAGCCUGGGCAGAGGCUUUCUGUGCUAUUACUUUAUUAGGAAGUGCAAACCCAAGGAGCAAAGCAGAGGGACAAGGCAGGGGAAAGCAGAGAAAGCAAAGAGGAAAAAUGAGGCUGGUUGCCACCAGAUGGAGGGUGAUGCUGGCUCCUUUGUAUUCUAGUCUCGGGAAAAGAGAAAUUUUUUCCAUCAACCUGUGCAGAAUCAGAGUAAGAGUGGAAGCCAAAGGUGUAUGCUUGAGGCAAGGUACCAUCAGAGCUACUGGCCAGAGAUGCAGGUAGAGCAAGAAAGGGAUGAAGCAGAAAAAGACCUGAAGUGGUGCACAUGCAUUCUGAUGCCUAUGAACACAGAAUGCUGAGACUCCCAAAGCUACUGGGCCAUGGAGUCAUCUUAUUCAUGAGUAUCCAAUUCACAUGUCAUAGGACUUACAUUCCUCAAAACGGUGUAGACUUGCUAGGCUACCCUCUCUGUGCACUUCUCUGUCUCCCUGUACAACCUGCAGCCUGAUGCCUGCCCUUCUUAUUCCUGUACCACCAUUGACCCCUUCCAAAUACAUACUGAGUCAAUGGCCUCUUCUCAACAUCAACCUUCCACCUAGAGAGGCAGCUGAGCAUCAUGAAAAGGGCACACACCUUGGGAUCAGAGAGACCAAAGCUUGAAACUGGGUAUCUACUCACCAGCUGGGGGGGGCCCGAUCAGGUUACUCAACUUUGGUGAGCUUCAGUUUCUGAAACUCUACAAUGGGAUGGACAUGAGGAUAUGGGGUGACAUGAGAGUGACAUGAGGAACUACAAGCUAACUUAUGGAAAGGGCCCUGCUCAGAGUACAUUUUACUUAUUUUAUUAUUAUCCCUGCAUCAUUGGAUAUCAUUGGUCUUAUGUGUCCAUGAACUCUCCUCUUCCUCAUUUCCCUGUUGGUCCCCUUAGUUCUCUCUUACCCCUUUUUUCUAUCUUCCUAAGUCACUGUCUACUAUGGACUGAAUUCUGUCCCUCCCUCACAAUAUUCAAUGUUGUUGCCAUAAUCCCCCGAAAGACUAUAAUAGAGAUAGGGCCUUUAGGGAGGGUAAUUAAAAUUAAGGGAGGUGAUAUGGUGGGACCCUGAUCCAACAAGGAUUAGUGUCCAUAUAAGAAAAAACACCAGAGCACUCUCUCCCCAUAUACACACCAAGGAAAGGCCACCUGAGGACACAGUAAAAAAGUGGCUAGCUAUUAGCCAGGAAGAGGAUUCUCACCCGAAACCACCCCUGUCAGACACUGAUCUUGGACUUCCAACCUCCAGGACUGUAAGAAGUAAAUUUCUAUCAUUUAAGGCACCCAUCACGUGGUCCAUUGUUAGGGCAAGCCCUGCACACUAAUAUACCUUCCCUGACUCCUCUUUCUGCUUUGAAAUGGAGAAGUUCCUCAAGGUAAUAAUGGUUCUGUCCUCUCCAUCCUCACUCUCUCUCCCCCAGGUUUAGUCUCAUUCCAUACCUUGACUUUACCCAUAACUCACAAAUCCACAUCUCUAAUUCAGACCUGUCUUUGGUUCUGAGCAUUUAAAUCCAAAUUUUAAAAUCUUUGGCAUCUUCACUUGAGUGUCCCCCUGGCCUAGCAAACUCAUCAUGUCUAAAAUUGAACUCAUCAUACUGUUCCUGAGAGCUCAUCAACGUCUUUUUCUUGCUGCCCAAUCCUUUGUAGAAUGAGAGAGGACAUAAAGAGAAAUGGAUACUUGUACAGAACGAUGGAAAGAUAGGCAGAUAAAAUUAGAGGUAACAUUUGAGUAUGUAUGUUCCACACACUAUGCAAAAUUAUUUACAGGGAUCAAUUGGUUGGAUUUGUAUAAUUACUCCUAUUUUUCACAUAAAGAAAUUGAGGAAAGUUUAAGUCUCUUGCCUGGGAUCAGAGUCAGUAAGUGAUAAAGCAAAGUCUGGAGACCAGGGCAUCAAACUCUAGAGCCUGACUUCAACCAGGUCAUUGGACUUUGCUCAGCCAACCGUCUCUGCUCUAUAUGAGUAACCCUAUGCCCACCCACGUCUUAACUAGGCUGCUGACAUGCAGAAAAAUAGCAAUACAUGUUCACACUGUUUUACUGCAUGUUCUCCCUCUUCUCUCCCUCUCCAUCACCACCCACUUUACCAACACCAUUCCCAUAGCCUAGGACUGUCAUACUUUCCCUUGAGAACUGACGCAUGUGUCACAGUGUGUGUGAAGCUCUUCCUCAUUUUUCCAGGUAAAAUUCAUCGCUCCUUCCCCAUACUCCCGCACAGCACAUUUUACUUUUAGCGCUAUCAAAGGACAUAUUUUUUUUUAGUACGUCAGCAAGUUCUGUUUGUCUGCCCUGCUGGAUCACUAGCUCCAGGUCAGUGGGAACUUGACUGUUUCAUCUCUGUGUACGCCAUGCAUAACAGAGUGCCUGCCCUAGAGUGGAAGGUCAAUAAGCAGCUCUAACUAAUGUUGAAUCAGUCACAAACCUACCAAGGCUUUGGCCAUCUGGACCAGUGGGGUGAUAAGGAGCUGGGAGCUGGCAAGGCCUUGUACCUGUGACCAGGAAACCAAAGGGGUACACACAAUGGAAACUUCCACAAGAAGGGAAAGUUCUUUAAAACGGGAAAUUUUAUCACAACUAACAUCA
rnacentral:lncRNA from 1 species